UGUGUGUGUGUGUGCAAGUGUCCACCAAAUGAUAACUACGAAGAGACGCAGUUCCAAGAUCAACUAUGAUGCAUUGGAGAAACUCUUUGAGGAACCUGGGACUGAGGAUGCCAAGAAACUACGCUGAAUCUCUCUGACAAUGUUGAGAAGUUGUCUAAUACAAAUGGCGAAGAUCUUGAAUUAGAGGACAUGAACCAAAAUGAUGGUUUCGGGUCACAAGAUGAAAACAAGGAUGAUGAUGAUGUUCAAGAAGCAUAUGUCACAAGAUGAAAACAAGGAUGAUGAUGAUGUUCAAGAAGCAUAUGAUG